rnacentral:rRNA from 1 species
GAAUCAUCGCAGACAGAGACGCGCACGGUCCGAGACUGCACGGCUGCGACGGCAGCGGCGCCGCGCCGCGGUCCGCGCUCGGGCAGGACCGCGACGGUGUGCGGCGUUCGCUUGCGUCGGGCCGGACGCGCGCGAGGCGCGUGCGCGGUUCGUCGUUCUGUACGAUUUCGUACUACCGUCCGACGGCCGGCCGGCCACCGGUCCGGUCCGGCCCAGUCGAGACUGGGCCGGGCUCCCGGACGGCGCUCAGGCCGACGUCGAACGGGUCGCGAUGCAUUACUGAGAGAGAAGUGCACGACGCCGGCGGACGUCGACGGACGCGACCCGUGCCGCGCGACGCACCCGCGAGGGGGACGCGCGGCAUCGAGGCGCGCGCCCGUACGCCGCCGGAUGUCGGUGAAUCUCUCCGUUCGUUCAUUCGAGUUUCGCAGGUUU